UCAAAACUGAAUUAUUACUCACAUGCUUUACCCUUUAGUGUGUUUAAGACCCUGGACCUUGGUGUCCGGGUUCAAAUCUCUGGGCGCCCAAACCAGAAGGAGAACGACGACCAUUGGGAGAUGAUGGAGGAGGUUCAGCGGAGUUUGCUUUUCGUGUCGAAGCCCAAGGCGUGUACGGAGCACGAAGAGAUGGAGCAGGACAGCGGGGGAUCGUCGAAGGAGAUGGAGUCGCCGAGGUCGAUUGGGCGAUGGAGGCGGAGGGCGAAGAGGGAGGGGUCCGUGCAUAGCCAGAUCUUGAGAAUUAGGGAGGAGGACGCGCAUCUCGGUGAGAUAUGAGAAGUCCUUACCUGAUGGUAAGGUCAAGCAAGUAUUUUUUUUUUAUCCCGAUGGCAAUGGAUUGGAGGUUGCAGGUCAAUGAACUCGACACCGACACAGAAGGCUGCUCAAAAUGGUCAAGUAGAUUCACAUGAAGCAGAUGAUCUGUAAAUCUUACUAAGAUUUUCUUACAGUACAGACAAUAAGUUGCAAUGGCCAUUUUCAUCUAUCUAGUUGUACCUCAAGGGUUCUUGUAGUUAUGAUGUUUUGCCAAUUGACACAUACUGGACAUUUGAAGUUUAAUCUAUUUCAGUCCUGAUAAUUGACA